rnacentral:lncRNA from 1 species
GAGGAUGGGCCGCGGCUGCCCGUGGGCGCCGGUGUCCUCUGGGGGUGAUGAAGGUUCUGCAGCCGGAUCCCGCUGAGGCUGCCUAAGGUUGUGCACGUGCUAAACACCGUCGCACUGUACGCCAAAAUGGUCUAAACGCGUGCUCGCUUCGGCUAAAAUGGAAACGAUCAAAUGGUAAAUUUUAUGUGUUUUACCACCUUACCGCCAUGUUACCGUUAUAAUGAAAAAUGACGAAGUGGGGGGCAGAAUGGGAGGGUGCAUUUUCUUUGUAACCUUUUAAAUUACAGAAAAGUUGCAAGACUGCUUCAUGGAACUCCCAAUGCACUUUACCCAAUAGCACCAACUGUUUACUUUUUUUUUUUUUUUUUAAGAUUUUAUUUCUUCUAUUGACAGAGGCCACAAGCUGGGGGAGCUGCAGGCAGAGGGAGAAGCAGGCUCCCCACCGAGGAGGGAACCUGAUGCGGGACUUCAUCCCAGGAUCCUGAGACCAUGACCUAAGCCAAAGGCAGAUGCUUAACCGACUGAGCCACCCAGCUGUUCUCCCCUCAGGCAGGCAGGCAGCCUCUGUCCAGAGGAGAGGAGCCUGGCGCACUCUGAAGGCUGUGGGAGCCCGAAGACUUCCGUCUGGCUCAUGGCCUCUGGGCUGUGUGCCCCUCCCACUACUGCUCUCUGCAAAAGGUUUGUUGCUGCCAGUCACCAGCAUGAAGUCCGAAUGCUAACCUCACCGGCCCUCCAAGAGAGGUUACAAACGGGAGACACCGGCGAAGCAGCC